UUGAACGCUGGCGGCGGCCUAACACAUGCAAGUCGAACGGAGUGGCGAACGGGUGAGUAACGCGUGAGCAACCUGCCUAUGACAGUGGGAUAGCCUCGGGAAACCGGGAUUAAUACAGCAUAGUCAUAGAUGGGCUCGCGUCUGAUGAGCUCUGUGGUGAGAUAACAGCCCACCAAGGCGACGAUCAGUAGCAGGUCUGAGAGGAUGAACGGCCACAUUGGAGCUGAGACACGGUCCAAACUCCUACGGGAGGCAGCAGUGGUGAAUAUUGCACAAUGGGGGAAACCCUGAUGCAGCGACGCCGCGUGAACGAAGAAGGUAUUCGUAUCGUAGAGUUCUGUCCUAUGGGAAGCAGUACCAUAGAAGAAAGCUCCGGCUAAAUACGUGCCAGCAGCCGCGGUAAUAC
rnacentral:rRNA from 1 species